rnacentral:rRNA from 1 species
AAUUCGAUGCAACGCGAAGAACCUUACCAAGACUUGACAUAUUCGAGAACGCUGCAGAAAUGUAGAACUCUUUGGACACUCGUUUACAGGUGGUGCAUGGUUGUCGUCAGCUCGUGUCGUGAGAUGUUGGGUUAAGUCCCGCAACGAGCGCAACCCUCGUCGUAUGUUGCCAGCACGUAAUGGUGGGAACUCAUAUGAGACUGCCGGGGUCAACUCGGAGGAAGGUGGGGAUGAGGUCAAAUCAUCAUGCCCCUUAUGUCUUGGGCUUCACGCAUGCUACAAUGGCCGGUACAAAGGGCUGCGAUACCGCAAGGUGGAGCGAAUCCCAAAAAGCCGGUCUCAGUUCGGAUUGAGGUCUGCGACUCGACCCCAUGAAGUCGGAGUCGCUAGUAAUCGUGAAUCAGCAACGUCACGGUGAAUACGUUCCCGGGCCUUGUACACACCCGCCCGUC